GUCAAAUCAAAGGUGUUUAUUUUAUUUACCUUUUGUUUCCAAAAGUUUUGAUAUAAAAUUUAUAUUUUUGAUUGCCUUGUGCUGACAGCUAGUUCAACUGUUGGUUUUCCCGUGGUGGAGAAGGAUUAUUUAUAUGCAACACAUUACCGAUGUAGCCAUUAAUUUCUUGGCCCUAAAAGGGAGAAAAUAUGAUCUGUAAAUACGGGAUUCACUGCAAUAAUACUUUAUGUUGACGCUAGUGGUAAUAUGACCUACUUCCAUGGGCCCAACAUUUAGCAGAAGCAGCACUUUGUGAUGCUGGGUUGAAUGCAUUUCGUCUCCGAGUGUUGGGAAAAUUCAACAAAAUGGAACGACCCAGGUAAUUGCAAAACUACUCAGUUUAUGCACAAUCAAUACUGAUGGAAAGGCCACGAAGCAGGACAAAUUUACGCACAAUCAAAGAGAUUUACUUAGAAUUUAGAUGUCCGGGAACCUGGUGGAAUUACUGCGUAACAACUUGUGUUUGCCACAAACUUCAUUGUGUACAAGCUCAUCUCAAGGAUUAUUAUUAACAAUAACAUCCAAAGUUUGUGACCGUAGAGUACAAUCGUGAGUGUUUUGUAGUUACGUACUUUGUUGGACCGAAGUUUUUUCGGAGCCCAUGGUAGACAUGAACGAUCAGAACUCGAUUAUACAUUCGUCAUUCUCGGUUGGAGCAUAAGUGCUUCGUCCUUUGAGUUUCUUGAUCUCAAAUUAUCUAUCUGAUGCUCAUAUGACGAGCCCAAUUCGCCUCAGUCCUCAGUAGUAUGCAUAUUUUGUAUCACAAUAUCAUCGUAUAGUCGUAAGUUACCAGCACCAAAGAGACUCGAGUGUCAAAUACUCAGACGUAGCACAAAUCAAAUAAUUAUCACUGAUCAAUCGAGUCAGUUUGUUCGUGAAAUCGUGUUGCUGUACACAGUUAUUCAAAUAAUGAAAAUGAAACAUGUUUGAAGCACUUUAAACUAUAAAUUUUAUGUUUGAAUAUUCAUUUGGUAGAAUAUAAAACAGUUUGACCACGAUAGAUAUUUGGAGUCUGUGGGAUCGUCAAGGAGAAAGCACAUGUGAUGGAGACUGCAAAUUGACGACUCAACCUUGCACAAUCUGGAAUUCUGUAAUACAUUCGUCGUAAUUAGGAACACUCGGAUUGCUCAGUCAUGAUUGUAAUGGGUACACCGAUAAGUAAGACUCGAAAAUA